rnacentral:rRNA from 1 species
AUUUGUGGUCAGACCUUCUUGUCAACACCUGAUCUAGUCAGAUCUCAGAAGCUAAGCAGGGUCGGACCUGGUUAGUACUUGGAAGACUGCUGGGGAAAUCAGGUGCUACACUGG